UACGAGGGGGGCAAGCGUUGUUCGGAAUUAUUGGGCGUAAAGGGAGCGUAGGCGGUUUUGUAAGUCGUGUGUGAAAUCUUCGGGCUCAACCCGAAGCCUGCACACGAAACUGCAGGGCUUGAGUAUGGGAGAGGUGAGUGGAAUUCCUGGUGUAGCGGUGAAAUGCGUAGAUAUCAGGAGGAACACCUGUGGCGAAAGCGGCUCACUGGACCAUUACUGACGCUGAGGCUCGAAAGCUAGGGGAGCGAACAGG
rnacentral:rRNA from 1 species